UACGUAGGGGGCAAGCGUUGUCCGGAUUUAUUGGGCGUAAAGAGCUCGUAGGUGGUUCGGUAAGUCGGAUGUGAAAUCUCCAGGCUCAACCUGGAGGGGUCAUUCGAUACUGCCGUGACUAGAGUUCGGUAGGGGAGUGUGGAAUUCCUGGUGGAGCGGUGAAAUGCGCAGAUAUCAGGAGGAACACCCGUAGCGAAGGCGGCACUCUGGGCCGAUACUGACACUGAGGAGCGGAAGCGUGGGGAGCGAACAGG
rnacentral:rRNA from 1 species